UGGUGGAGUGAUUUGUCUGGUUAAUUCCGAUAACGAACGAGACCGCAGCCUGCUAAAUAGUGAGUCGGCUCUCACGAGCCGGUUCCUCGCUUCUUAGAGGGACUUUCCGUUUCUAGCGGAAGGAAGUUUGCGGCAAUAACA
rnacentral:rRNA from 1 species